UAGGGAAUAUUGGACAAUGGGGGCAACCCUGAUCCAGCCAUGCCGCGUGAGUGAAGAAGGCCCUCGGGUUGUAAAGCUCUUUUGUCCGGAAAGAAAAGCUUCGGGUUAAUACCCCGGGGUUCUGACGGUACCGGAAGAAUAAGCACCGGCUAACUUCGUGCCAGCAGCCGCGGUAAUACGAAGGGUGCAAGCGUUACUCGGAAUUACUGGGCGUAAAGCGUGCGUAGGUGGUUGUUUAAGUCUGAUGUGAAAGCCCUGGGCUCAACCUGGGAAAGGCAUUGGAAACUGGGCAGCUAGAGUGCGGUAGAGGGUAGUGGAAUUCCCGGUGUAGCAGUGAAAUGCGUAGAGAUCGGGAGGAACAUCUGUGGCGAAGGCGACUGCCUGGACCAGCACUGACACUGAGGCACGAAAGCGUGGGGAGCAAACA
rnacentral:rRNA from 1 species